rnacentral:rRNA from 1 species
UGGGGAAUAUUGGACAAUGGGCGAAAGCCUGAUCCAGCAAUGCCGCGUGAGUGAUGAAGGCCUUCGGGUUGUAAAGCUCUGUCAGCGGGAACGAAUAAGCCGAUUAAUACCCGGUGAUGACGGUACCCGCAAAGGAAGCACCGGCUAACUCUGUGCCAGCAGCCGCGGUAAUACAGAGGGUGCAAGCGUUGUUCGGAAUUACUGGGCGUAAAGCGCGUGUAGGCGGCACAGCAAGUUGGAUGUGAAAGCCCUCGGCUCAACCGAGGAACUGCAUUCAAAACUACUGAGCUAGAGUAUCGGAGGGGGUGGCGGAAUUCCCGGUGUAGAGGUGAAAUUCGUAGAUAUCGGGAGGAACACCUGUGGCGAAGGCGGCCACCUGGAAGAUUACUGACGCUGAGACGCGAAAGCGUGGGGAGCAAACAG